UACAGAGGUCCCGAGCGUUGUUCGGAUUCACUGGGCGUAAAGGGUGCGUAGGUGGCGAGGUAAGUCGGAUGUGAAAUCUCCAAGCUUAACUUGGAAAUGGCAUUGGAAACUACCUGGCUAGAGGUUUGGAGGGGGGACUGGAAUGCUUGGUGUAGCAGUGAAAUGCGUAGAUAUCAAGCGGAACACCAGUGGCGAAGGCGGUCUGCUGGGCAGUUUCUGACACUGAGGCGCGACAGCGUGGGGAGCAAACAGG
rnacentral:rRNA from 1 species